CCUACGGGUGGCAGCAGUGGGGAAUAUUGGGCAAUGGGCGCAAGCCUGACCCAGCAACGCCGCGUGAAGGAAGAAGGCUUUCGGGUUGUAAACUUCUUUUGUCAGGGACGAAGCAAGUGACGGUACCUGACGAAUAAGCCACGGCUAACUACGUGCCAGCAGCCGCGGUAAUACGUAGGUGGCAAGCGUUAUCCGGAUUUAUUGGGUGUAAAGGGCGUGUAGGCGGGAGCGCAAGUCAGAUGUGAAAACUCAGGGCUCAACCCUGAGCCUGCAUUUGAAACUGUGUUUCUUGAGUGCUGGAGAGGCAAUCGGAAUUCCGGGUGUAGCGGUGAAAUGCGUAGAUAUACGGAGGAACACCAGUGGCGAAGGCGGAUUGCUGGACAGUAACUGACGCUGAGGCGCGAAAGCGUGGGGAGCAAACAGGAUUAGAUACCCGAGUAGUC
rnacentral:rRNA from 1 species